UUUGCGCAGCAUAGGUGGGAGGCAUUGAGUUUAUUCUUGCGGGAAUUUAGGAGCCAUCAGUGAGAUACCACUCUGGUAAUGUUAGAUUUCUAACUUUGUAUCAUGAUCUGGUCAAAGAACAGUUUCAGGCGGGCAGUUUGACUGGGGCGGUCGCCUCCCAAAUGGUAACGGAGGCGUACAAAGGUUUCCUCUGAACGUGUAGAAAUCGUAUCUAGAGUGUAAAGGCAUAAGGAAGCUUGACUGUGAGACCUACAAGUCGAGCAGGGACGAAAGUCGGUCUUAGUGAUCUGACGGUGCUGAGUGGAAAGGCCGUCACUCGACGGAUAAAAGUUACUCUAGGGAUAACAGGCUGAA
rnacentral:rRNA from 1 species